GCCAGGGUGGAGUAGUGGUUUGAGUGUUGAAUUAUAAUUCAGCAGACCAGGGUUCGAUGCCCAGCUCUGCCA